ACGCUCGACACCUACGGGAGGCAGCAGUGGGGAAUAUUGCACAAUGGGGGAAACCCUGAUGCAGCAACGCCGCGUGAAGGAAGACGGUUUUCGGAUUGUAAACUUCUGUUCUUAGUGAAGAUAGUGACGGUAGCUAAGGAGCAAGCCACGGCUAACUACGUGCCACAGCCGCGGUAAUCUGAGCGGCUGGCAAGGC
rnacentral:rRNA from 1 species